UUGUGCAGCGGAAUUCCUACCAUGUCAUUUACUUCAAGUCGUCGUUUCACAUGUGCACUCAACUCUCGGUUGCAUCGAUAUAGUCUAGAUUUCGAAGGGCUUGUCUUGUGAUUGUGAUCCAGGUGUACUGUGUUAAUUUUCCAUACUCCAUAAAUAUAUGAACAUCCAGUGAUCCUGACUUUACAUCCACUCUGAAUGGUUGCUUGCGGCUUUAAAGAAUCGCUUGUAUUUAUGAUUCUCUUCCCUUCACGACUACAAACAAAUGUCACAUUUCUCAAUACUCCAUCAUCAUUCUUUCUCGAAUUAUUUUUUUUCUAAUUGGG
rnacentral:lncRNA from 1 species